UACAGAGGGUGCAAGCGUUGUUCGGAAUUAUUGGGCGUAAAGCGCGUGUAGGCGGAUUUGCAAGUCGGGUGUGAAAGCCCUCAGCUCAACUGAGGAAGUGCGCCCGAAACUGCAGAUCUUGAGUACCGGAGAGGAUGGCGGAAUUCCCCAAGUAGAGGUGAAAUUCGUAGAUAUGGGGAGGAACACCGGUGGCGAAGGCGGCCAUCUGGACGGAUACUGACGCUGAGACGCGAAAGCGUGGGUAGCAAGCAGG
rnacentral:rRNA from 1 species